rnacentral:lncRNA from 1 species
CACAUGGAUCCUUGAUGCGGUCAAGCAAAAUGGCCAGGCUGUCAAAGAUUUUCAGUUGGAUUUUUAUACUAUUCGUAUGGAUAAAUAAGGAGGUAUGCUUGCACUAGGGGAAUACAAUGAUCAACUCGGAGUCUCGGACCAAAAAAGAUUGGGGACCGGGUUGAUUUUCACCUAACAGAUUGUUCCAGUUGACAUCUCGAAGUACUUGCUCAUCCGUAUGCUACAACUACUAUUCAUCAACUGCCAAACAAGUUCACCGAAUUUUUGGCGAAUAAGAGCAGCCACCGUGUCGAGCUGAAAAUCGAUGCUCGGAAUAUCAGGCCAUGUUUAGUUACCCCCAACUCCCAACAUUGACACUAUGCAAAAAGAAGAUUCCACAUCACAUCAAACU